rnacentral:tRNA from 1 species
GGACCUGUAGCUCAGAUGGUUAGAGCGUACGAUUCACAUUCGUAAGGCCGAAGGUUCGAUUCCUUCCGGGUCCA